rnacentral:rRNA from 1 species
CCUACGGGUGGCAGCAGUCGAGAAUCAUUCACAAUGGGGGAAACCCUGAUGGUGCGACGCCGCGUGGGGGAAUGAAGGUCUUCGGAUUGUAAACCCCUGUCAUGUGGGAGCAAAUUAAAAAGAUAGUACCACAAGAGGAAGAGACGGCUAACUCUGUGCCAGCAGCCGCGGUAAUACAGAGGUCUCAAGCGUUGUUCGGAAUCACUGGGCGUAAAGCGUGCGUAGGCUGUUUCGUAAGUCGUGUGUGAAAGGCGCGGGCUCAACCCGCGGACGGCACAUGAUACUGCGAGACUAGAGUAAGGGAGGGGGGACCGGAAUUCUCGGUGUAGCAGUGAAAUGCGUAGAUAUCGAGAGGAACACUCGUGGCGAAGGCGGGUUCCUGGACAUUAACUGACGCUGAGGCACGAAGGCCAGGGGAGCGAAAGGGAUUAGAUACCCCUGUAGUC